UGACUUUAAAAUUGCAGAAAAAGAGUAGAUGAGGAAAGUGCUAUUAUUCGGAGAUACAAUUUCAUGAUGUCAUUCAAGCCUAACAGAGAAUUAUUGAAUCCUAAUUUCAACGGGUACAAGCUAGCUGACCACUCCCUACCGUUGCUAUGGGAAACCUUUACCGGCGGAGUACACAAGAUAAGCAACGCUCAUUCUGACUCAUUCUUCUCAUAUCAACACGUCCGACAAGCAACAAUGAACAAUAGUUUGACCUUUGACCCCUGGAAUGACUCACAUGUGUACUGGACUACUGCUAAUACACACAAUAUAAUGUGUGGAUAUCUAUCAGCAUCAGGUAAUGAAUUAUUACUAUUGCCAGUUCACCAUAGCAAUUAGUCAUCAUCGAACCCUUCUACCACUAACUCAAGUCUCAUCUUUCUCUCUAAAAACCAGGCCCUCUUUUAUGAGCCGUCAUACGAUGACGGUAAUUGCUUAUUAUUCUAUACUGGGGAUUGUACUGAUAUUAAUUUCUGGAGUAUAAUAUCAAGAA